ensembl:lncRNA
CUCCAGGCUACCUAGACAUUGGUCAAAUGCAGAGAUCUCAUUUAAUUGUGUAAUACUUGAACAUAUGCGAGGUCAAAUAUAAACAGAUCCCCUGAAACCAAAACCUCAGUCUGGUCUUCUUUUAACUACUUUUAAUGGUUACACUACAUUACCAUCCGAUUUUGACCUCUGGUGUUAUAUGGAGCCUCAUCUCACGCAGCUUUGUGUUCCUAGGAGCUGGAGGGUGGCAAGCAAUAUCCCAUGUCGGCUCAACAUAGAGGCUUCUGCUUGAUCGUCAACAACUUUGACUUCAGCCGUUCCCGUUGAAACCAAAGUACUUUCGGAUAGGGUCAAACAGUGAUGGAGUCUAUACUUGAAGUCUUCUGAGAAAUGCAGCGCAAGGACCUCCUGAGCAGCUCUGACCUCCUCCUGCUGGAGGACCUACUCAAAUCCAACCCCUGUCAAUCGUUGCUGACAGACAUCGAAAAGUUUAAGGACUCACAAGAUCCUUCCCUGCCGUCGAUAAAGUUUAAACAGCAAAAACGCUGGACCCGUCCAACCUGAGGACCACGACCCAAUUGACGGACCCAGCAGCCCUGGGGUCAACACCCAGACCGAUGGACGCUGCAGCCCUGGUGACAUCUGGAGCGACGCCAUGAGUGAGAUGCUACCCAGCACAGCAGAUUUCCUGAAAGCCAUGUCAAUCACUCCCUCCGAUAUCUCCCUGAGGGCCCUAUUUUAACAGUCUGAAACGCAAUGGUUCACCUUAGGUGAACAACGACGUGAGCCAGAUGUCCGACCCCACCAGCAGCAUGAGACAGAUGCCCCAACCUUCCUACACUCUGCGGAUGGGUGAACAGGUGACGUGUCCAUCCAGAGAGUAUAAAAGCCACAGACCAGAUGUGGGUCUUCAUUGAGAGGACUUGAGAACAUUUGUUGCAUUUCCAACGUUUCUGUUGGACGUUGUGGAGGAGGAGGAGCCUGAAACUAAAGCGGACAGGACCUUUCGCCGUUCAAACACAAUCUCACCAGAUUGAAGAUGGAUAGUUCUGCACCAAAACGCGCCAGAGCCUGCAAGGAAGAGACCGUCUUUGAGGGCUACCUCCAUGACGUGACGCAAAUGAAGACUUCAGGGAACAAUGAGGAUUUUUCAAUUGCUACUUGCAGACAUCCCGAGACCAGUAUAGGAGAUGCGUCGUGUUUGAUGCAACGAAGCAUGGAGACUAUGGGAUGGCAGCGGCCGACCGCAAGCCCUUGAAGAUAAGCAGUGCCGGGACAAUUCGGUGCAAAUUCAACCCUGGCCAGCUGGACAUCUGUAUACGUCGUGGAUCUAUUAAGAAGGUGCUGAAGUCCCUUGACUUUGACUACAUUGAGAAACCCUCCAUCCCGAACUCAGUGGAGGAGAGCCUGGUUCCAGAAUCUGUUGCGAGGCAGCGACUGGAGGUGGAGCAGCAGGAGGAGGUGGAGCAGCAGGAGGAGGAGGAGGUGGAGCAGGAGGGGAUCACCGCGGUGCGGGAACCAGUCUGUGGCAUCCAACUAGCUUACCAACGGCAGUGCAGCAGCUGCAACGAAGGGCAGCUGGCCUUCAACAUAAAGGCCAUAAACCAUCGCUGCGAGGCCUGUGGCUUCUAUCAGAAGGUCGGGUCAUAUGUAAAGGCUGCCACCGGGACAGUCUGGGUCAAUAAGGGGAAUGUGAAACUCACGUUGAAAUUGACCUCGACUGUCCUGAUGACAUACCUGAGUCAAAACAACCUCCAGGAGCUGCUUGCAGAUGUGCAGUUGGUGGAGGAGCACUUUUUGGAAGUGGGGGUGUUUGUAAUCCAAUACAAUGCCAACAAU